rnacentral:rRNA from 1 species
UACGGAGGAUUCAAGCGUUAUCCGGAUUUAUUGGGUUUAAAGGGUGCGUAGGCGGUUUUAUAAGUUAGAGGUGAAAUCUCGGGGCUCAACUCCGAAAUUGCCUCUAAUACUGUAGGACUAGAGAGUAGUUGCGGUAGGCGGAAUUCGUGGUGUAGCGGUGAAAUGCAUAGAUAUCACGAAGAACUCCGAUUGCGAAGGCAGCUUACCAGUCUGCGACUGACGCUCAGGCACGAAAGUGUGGGUAUCGAACAGG